rfam:Struthio camelus australis contig78623, whole genome shotgun sequence.
AAACUGGCUCUACUAAGAGCCAUAUUUACGCUUUAGAACAUUUUCU